GAACGAAAAAAUAGGAGUAAUCGCCUAUUUUAGGGGCAACCUUUUGAGACGGAAAGCAAAAAUAACAGUUUUCAAAAUUUUCCAGUGUAUUUAAUUUUAUUAUAUUUAAUAACCCCCAAAAAAAUGGCUCGGUAGAAAGAGAGUUAAUUCCAAUCUCACCAUGAAAUGUCUAUUUUGAGAAAUUAUUAAUAGGAUACAGCCAGGCUCUGUUUUUCACUUACUUUUGCGAACAGCUGACCUGGCACAGAACUAGGCCCAUUUGGCUGCGGUUUUACCGCGUAUCGGUGAAGCAAAAUAUUAUGGAGCACACUCGACAUUUGACCUUGCACCAUCGAACCGUUAAAAGCAUUAAACGAAUGACAAUUGCUUAUGCUAGAUGGUGAUAGCUGCGAUUCAACUGGGCUGCGCAGUCGGACCAAGAUGGUAGCUUAUCGUAAUCCAGUUGCUCUUCGAACCGAGACUUCGUUGUGGGAAUUAUCAUCGCGCUAGUUAUGUCUUUCUCACUUCCUUACGACUGCAGAGAGGAGUAGAUGGCUGACACCGUGUCAAUGAUGUACCUAAGGCAUGAAGCAAAAGGAGUUGUUGUGCUGGGAAUGUCAAACAACUGCGAGACAGUAUC
rnacentral:sRNA from 1 species